rnacentral:rRNA from 1 species
GACGAACGCUGGCGGCGUGCUUAACACAUGCAAGUCGAACGGAAAGGCCCCCUUGUGGGGUACUCGAGUGGCGAACGGGUGAGUAACACGUGAGUAACCUACCCUUGACUUUGGGAUAACUUCAGGAAACUGGGGCUAAUACCGGAUAGGAGCUCCUGCUGCAUGGUGGGGGUUGGAAAGUUUCGGCGGUUGGGGAUGGACUCGCGGCUUAUCAGCUUGUUGGUGGGGUAGUGGCUCACCAAGGCUUUGACGGGUAGCCGGCCUGAGAGGGUGACCGGCCACAUUGGGACUGAGAUACGGCCCAGACUCCUACGGGAGGCAGCAGUGGGGAAUAUUGCACAAUGGGCGGAAGCCUGAUGCUGCAACGCCGCGUGCGGGAUGACGGCCUUCGGGUUGUAAACCGCUUUCGCCUGUGACGAAGCGUGAGUGACGGUAAUGGGUAAAGAAGCACCGGCUAACUACGUG